AGUGAACGCUGGCGGUAGGCCUAACACAUGCAAGUCGAACGGCAGCACAGGAGAGCUUGCUCUCUGGGUGGCGAGUGGCGGACGGGUGAGGAAUACAUCGGAAUCUACUCUGUCGUGGGGGAUAACGUAGGGAAACUUACGCUAAUACCGCAUACGACCUACGGGUGAAAGCAGGGGACCUUCGGGCCUUGUGCGAUUGAAUGAGCCGAUGUCGGAUUAGCUAGUUGGCGGGGUAAAGGCCCACCAAGGCGACGAUCCGUAGCUGGUCUGAGAGGAGGGUCAGCCACACUGGAACUGGGACACGGUCCAGACUCCUACGGGAGGCAGCAGUGGGGAAUAUUGGACAAUGGGCGCAAGCCUGAUCCAGCCAUACCGCGUGGGUGAAGAAGGCCUUCGGGUUGUAAAGCCCUUUUGUUGGGAAAGAAAUCCAGCUGGCUAAUACCCGGUUGGGAUGACGGUACCCAAAGAAUAAGCACCGGCUAACUUCGUGCCAGCAGCCGCGGUAA
rnacentral:rRNA from 1 species